AACAUGGCCUGGUAUCGAUGCAAGCGUUCUUUGUACAUCAAGUCCAAAUGGACAAGGGACGUGUAAGGGUGACUCCGGAGGUCCUCUUGCUGAUGGAAAUACACUCGUUGGACUAGUUUCUUUUGGAAAACCCUGUGCUAAAGGGCUGCCAGACGGUUUUGCAAAUGUGGCCCAUUUGUCCAAUUGGAUCAAAUCAACCGCAGUCUAAGUAUUGGAAUUUCCUUUACAAAUGAGCUUUCGUGACGAAUCAAUAAAACGAAUUCAAAUGAACA